rnacentral:lncRNA from 1 species
AUAGGGAUGAGCCAAUUAAUCGGCCAUUUUGAAAUAAUCAGUAAUGGAGCGAUUAUUGCAUGAUAAUCGUCAAAAUAAACUACAAGAGUAAAACUCCUAGAAAUGUGUGUCAACACUGUCCCUGUCUCUGAAUAUAACGUGUGGGGUCGUUUCCAUUGGAGGAUCACGUGGUCCUGGUGAAACGUUUUGGCUGUGGUAUGGGGGUGAGGAGAUUCUGCCUCGAGGUUGACACGGUGGUAAGGG